CCUGGCUCAGGAUGAACGCUAGCUACAGGCUUAACACAUGCAAGUCGAGGGGGCAGCAUGAGAUUAGCUUGCUAAUCUUGAUGGCGACCGGCGCACGGGUGCGUAACACGUAUCCAAUCUACCCAUGGCUCGGGGAUAGCCUUUCGAAAGAAAGAUUAAUACCCGAUGGUCUGCGAUUGAGACAUCUCGAUUGCAGUAAAGACUUGUCGGCGAUGGAUGGGGAUGCGUCCGAUUAGCUAGUUGGCGGGGUAACGGCCCACCAAGGCGACGAUCGGUAGGGGUUCUGAGAGGAAGGUCCCCCCACACUGGAACUGAGACACGGUCCAGACUCCUACGGGAGGCAGCAGUGAGGAAUAUUGGUCAAUGGGCGAUGGCCUGAACCAGCCAAGUAGCCGUGAGGGACGACGGCCCUACGGGUUGUAAACCUCUUUUGUAUGGGAAUAAAGUGAGGCACGUGUGCCUUUUUGUAUGUACCUUACGAAUAAGCAUCGGCUAAUUCCGUGCCAGCAGCGGC
rnacentral:rRNA from 1 species